GUUCCCCCGAGGAAAUCCUGACAAACAGGAACCACGAUCGGGACAUUCUGCUAUCUGGGUAAGUAAUGGUGUGCUUGGUAAACUCACCACAGACCAAGUGAUCUCCAGGUAAGCGAGGUUCCUUUGCCUGAACAGUUUACCAUGUGAUGGGUUAAUGGCUAGUAUGGAAAGAAAGGGAAAUGGCUCCUUGUUCUCCUUGCCAUGCGAUCCUUUUCAUUUCUGUCCUGGAGAGAAAGUGUGCUCUAUGUGCUUUGUGAGUGCUGAUUGAUUGGCAUGUACCCAGGGAACUCACAUGGCAUUGUGCAUCACAGGAGUGACUGCGGUGGAUUUCCAGGGGAAGCUGGCCAGGGAAAAUGGCAUAUCCUACCAUGGCCUAGACCUUGGAGGGCCCUCAAGCAUCCAGGCAGGCGGUAGUCAGAGCAUGAGGACAACCUUGAGGUCUCUCCAGGAGAUUCAGGGACCAUCGGAUUUGGUACGGAUUCAAGUACGAGAUGAUCAUGGCUCUCAUCAUUGCAGUGACUGUGGUAUUUUGAAGGAAUCCAAGAAACAGAUGAUGGACAUGUCCCUAACCAUGGUAGUGCUCAUGGAAUUUUGUAGCUAUAGAGUGAAAAUAUGACAGUGGCCAUAUCCCAGGUAAUAUCCAUGGGAUUUUGUAAAUAUCCAGGUAAGAAAUGAGUGUUUCUACUUAAGAAGUUAACAUGGGAUACUGAAGUUAUAAAGGUAAGAAAUGAUGAUAAACCCAACAGUGCAGGUGACCAUGGUAUUUUCUAGAUAUCCAAAUAAGAGUGGAUGGUGGCCCUAACUGGAGUAUCAAAAUUGGAUUGCCUCAGUUAGGUACGUAGCUGCUGCUGAUGUUUCUUUCCAUAUUAGUGAACACGGCAUUUGGUGGUAUUCCACUCCACACGUGUUGGCAAAACCAAACCACAAAAUGACCAUGAGAUUUGUCAGGGGUCUAGUAAACAGAUGAUGGUCCCCUUAACCGUGAAGGUUAUGAUGAAAUUUUGUAGGACAAUAAUUAAGAGAUGGUGGUGAUCCUAACCACGUAGUGAAUAAGGGAUUUUGCAAGUCACCAGGUAAGAGAUGAUCGUGUCUCUAAAAAUGUGGUGACCGUGGGAUUUUGCAGAUAUCUACCUAAGCAAUAAUGUGUUACUAGAAAUGGUAGUACCAAGGUAUUUUACAGUUACCCAGGAAAGAAAUGAUGUGUCCCCAGCAAUGGCAUUUAACCUGGUUAAUUUUAGGUCUCCAUGGAUGGUAGAUUUAUCUAAAUCUGGUAGAUCUCAUGGGCUUCUAUAGGUAUCCACAUGAGAGAUGAUGUGUCACGAAUUGUAAACAACGGCCACUAUUGUUACCAAGGUAUUUUAUAAGUAUCCAGCUAAGAGCUCUGGCUUUAUGUAUUUGUUAGAUUUAUGACUUUUUUGUGUGUGUUUUUAUAGUAUUUUUUUCUUUUCUUGAGAGAGUCUGGCUGAGGUAAGUGCUGAUGCGUGCAUAAACCACAGCACGCACCGUGGGACUGUCCCAGAGACCUGGUUCAGUGAUGAGGUGUCCCCACACGUCUUCCUGCCGUGAUUUCUUUCACAGGUACUCAGCUGAGAAAUGAUUGAGUCCUUACCAAUCCCAGAUCGGCCAGGUUUUCCCGUUUUCCGUUUCAACGAAAGUGUAUGCUGAACCCUGUGAGUGUUGAGGGGCUGCAGGAUGCCAGGUAUUUAUCUCUGCAUUCCCCGCCCCCAUGCUGCCCCUAGGAUGGCUACAGGUGUCGAGAAAUGGUGUUUUUGUGCUAUCAGGGUCGACCUGGGAUUACUGCAAGUAUCCAAGUCAAGUGGGUGUGUCCUGUAAAGAUGGAAAUAAUCAAGAUUCUUUGCAGGAGUGCUGGCAGCAAACCCCAUGUCCCUCUACACAUACUUCUUCGUGCCUCUUUCAGGUUCCUACCAUGACAUCACAAUAAAUCUGACACAAGACCUUAAUGGGAAGUUCGGCUGCUCUGCACGUCAGUGCUGAUGAGGACCAAAAGCAUCACACGGGCCACGCGAGGUUCAGUUGUCUAGAUAAGUGAUGAUAGUGUCAGGCCUCUCUGUCGUUCCCAUGAUUUCACUUCAGGUGUCCCAGUUGGGAUUGAUAAGGGUACCUGGCACCCUAGAAACUGUGAGUUUUUCCUCUGCGUAUUUCAGAGACAGUGCCUAACCAUGUGAACACGGCGGGACUGCAAAUACCAGGUAAUGAUCCAGCGUUCCCAGCCACAGCAGUGACUGUGGACAUUUUACAGGUGUUCUGUAGAGAGAAAUGCUAUCUUCUGGAGCCACGGCCCUGAGCCAGAUGGGCCCCACCAGCAUCCUGGUAAGAGUCAUUGAAUGAUGGAUGUGAGCUUCAUGAUUUGCAGGUGUCCUGGUACGGCAUCUUGUGUGUUUCUGAGGCAUAUGUCUGUAUAUGUUUUUCAGGUUCCCUGGAGGAAAUCCUGACAAAAAGGAAUCACCAUCAGGGGACAUGUCUGCUGUCUGGUUAGUGAUGGUGUUCGUAGUAAACUCACCACAGACCAGGCGAUCUCCACCUAUCUAGGUAAGUGAGGUUCCUUUGCCUGAACAGUUUACCAUGUGAUGGGUUAAUGGCCUUUAUGGAAAGGAAGAGUAGUGACUCCCCGUUCUCCUCACCAUGUGACCUUAUUGAUAACUGUCCUAGAGAGAAUAUAAGAUGUAUGUGCUGUGUGAGUGCGGAUUGAUUGGCACAUACCCAGGGAACCCACGUGGCACUGUGCAUCACAGGAGUUUCUUCGGUGGAGUUACAGGGAAGCCAACCAGGGAAAGUGGCGUGUCCUACAAUGGCCUAGACCUUGGAGGGCCCACAAGCAUCCUGGUAGAUUUUGGGCUCUUACAGUGAUGAUAGUGAGCAGGUGGCUUGCAGGGUUCUGGUAUUAAAAGCAGUGUCCAUAGACACAUUGGUCACAUACGUGAUUUCAGAUCAGGCAGGCAGAAGUCAGAGCAUGAGGACAGCCUUAAGGUCUCUCCACGAGAUUCACGGAUUAUUGUAUUUGGUAGGAAUUGAGGUAUGAGAUGAUCAUGGCUCUUAUUGCAGUGACUGUGGUAUUUUCAAGGAAUCCAAGAAACAGAUGAUGGACGUGUUCAUAACCAUGAUAGUGCCCAUGGGAUUUUGUAGCUAUAGAAUGAAAAGAUAACAGUGGCCAUAUCCAUGGUAAUGUCUGUGGGAUUUUAUAAAUAUCCAGGUAAGAAAUAAGUGUUUCUACUUAAGAAGUGAACAUGGGAUACUGAAGUUAUAAAGGUAAGAAAUGGUAAACCUGAUUGUGUGGGUGACCAUGGUAUUUUCUACACAUCCAGAUAAGGCUGGAUGGUGACCCUAAUUCGAGUAUCAAAAUUGGAUUUUGUGAGGUAGGCACCUAGGAGCUGAUGAUGUCCCUUCCCAUGUGAGUGAACAUGGCAUUUUGUGGUAUUCUGGAUGUGGUGGCAAACCUAACCCCAAAAUGACCAUGAGGUUUGUCAGGGUCCUAGUAAAGAGAAGAUGGUCCCCUUAACCAUGAAAGUUAUGAUGUCAUUUUGUCAGUCAGUAAUUAAGAGAUGAUGGUGACCCUGCCACUCCAAUGAAUAAGGAAUUUUGCAAGUCACCAGGUAAGAGAUGAUGGUGUCUCUAAAAAUGUGGUGACUGUCGGAUUUUGAGGAUAUCCAAUCAAGGAAUAAUGUGUUACUAGAAAUGAUAGUACCAAGGUACUCAGCAGUUAGCCACGAAAGAAAUGAUGUGUCCCUAGCGAUGGCAUUUAAUCUGAGUAAUUUGUAGGUCCCCAUGUAUGGUAGGUUUUUCCAAAUCUGGUAGAACACAUGGCCUUCUGUAGGUAUCCACAUGAGAGAUGACAUGUCACAAAGUGUAAGUACUGCCACUACUGUAGCCAGGGUAUUUUAUAAGUAUCCAGCUAAGAGGUCUGGCUUUAUCUGUGUGUUGCAUGUUAGACUAUCAUGUUGUCUAUUUUUUUCUUUUUUUUGAGAUUGUGUCUGGCUGAGGUAAGUGCUGAUGCAGGCCUAAACCACAACCCUCACCGUGGGACUGUCACAGAGACCCAGUUCAGUAGUGGUGUGUCCCUACACAUCUUCCCACUGUGAUUUCUUUCACAGGUACUCAGGUGACAAGUGACUGAGUCCUUACCAUUCCCAGAUAGGCCAGGUUUUCCCAUUUUCUGUUUCAACAAAAGUGUAUGCUGAAAUCCGUGAGUGUUGAGGGAUUGCAGGGAGCCAGGUGUUUAUCACUGUAUUCCCUGCCCCCGUGCUGCCCCAGGAUGUCUACAGGUGUACAGUCGGGAAACGGUGGUUUUCUGCUAUCACGGUCGACCUGAGAUUACUACAAGUAUCCAGGUCAAGUGGGUAUGUCCCGAAAAGAUGGAAAUCAUCAAGGUUCUUUGUAGGAGUGCUGUGGAAAGCCCUGUGUCCUUCUACACAUGUGUCUUCUACACAUCUGAUUUUGCAAGCUGCCAGAGAAGAUACUAUGGUGUCUCUAAAAAUGUGGUGACCACGAGUUUUUGCAGAUAACCAAUUAAGUUAUUUGCAAAACUAGAAAUGGUAGUCCCAAGGCAUUUUACAGUUACCCAGGAAAUAAAUGAUGUGUCCUUAGUAAAGGCAUUUAAUUUGGGUAAUUUGUAGGUCUCCAUGUCUGGUAGGUAUUUCUAUAUCUGGUCAAUCUCAUAGUAUUCUGUAGGUAUCCACAUGAGAGAUGAUGUGUCACAAGUUGUAACCAAGUGCCAAGGUAUUUUACAAGUAUCUCACUUAAAGCUCCGGUGAAUAUAAGUUUUUGAAGAUACCCAGUGGGGAAUGAUGUUGGCCUAAGCCAUGGUAAUGCCCACUGGUAGUGCCCAUAUCUUGGUAAUAGGUGGUGUGUGUCUGAUUAUGGUUGUCCCUAUGGCUUUUUUUUUUUUUUUCAAAUUCCAGCAGAAUAAUGAAGACAAUCUUAACCACUCUUAUGAACAGAAGAUUUAGCAGGAAUUGAGGAAAGAAAUAAUGUGGGCUUUAACCAAAUGGACGUGAUUAGAUUUUAGGGAUUUCUAAAUAAGUGAUCAUGGUGUCCCUAACAAUGGGAUUUUGCAGGUUGUAGUCAACAGGUGAUGAUGAAUUUAACAGUAGGCGCAAACAUGGGAAUUAUUGAUACCUAGAUAAGACAUGAUGUGGUCCUUAAACAUAUUACAGACCAUAUUAUUUUUUAGAUAUCUACACAAACAAUAUGUCCUGAAAUCUUGAUGUAACCAUUUUUUUUUUUUCACAUUUAAAAAGUUGCUCAUUCUCAAAUAUUUGUGCAGGGCUG
rnacentral:lncRNA from 1 species